rnacentral:tRNA from 1 species
CGGGAAGUAGCUCAGAUGGCUUAGAGCGCGCGUAUGGGGUGCGUGAGGUCGCUGGUUCGAGUCCAGUCUUCCCGAC